UGUGCUAAGGUAGCAUAAUCAUUUGUCUUUUAAUUGAAGACUAGAACAAAAGAUUUAACAAUUUAAUUAAUAUAUAAAAUUAAUUACACUAAUUUAUUUUAAAUGUAAAAAAACAUUUAUAAAACAGGAAGACGACAAGACCCUAUUAAACUUAACUGUAGUUUUACUGGGGCAGUAAAUAAAUUAUUACUUUAACAAAGAUAUAAACAUAAAAGAUCCAACAAAAUUGAAUACAUGAUCAAGUUACUAUAGGGAUAACAGCGUAAUAUUUAUCCAAAGAUCUUAUAUAAAUAAAAGAUUGCGACCUCGAUGUUGAAUUAAUAACCUAA
rnacentral:rRNA from 1 species